rnacentral:rRNA from 1 species
AUUGAACGCUAGCGGGAUGCCUUACACAUGCAAGUCGAACGGCAGCACGGACUUCGGUCUGGUGGCGAGUGGCGAACGGGUGAGUAAUGUAUCGGAACGUGCCCAGUAGCGGGGGAUAACUACGCGAAAGCGUAGCUAAUACCGCAUACGCCCUACGGGGGAAAGCAGGGGAUCGCAAGACCUUGCACUAUUGGAGCGGCCGAUAUCGGAUUAGCUAGUUGGUGGGGUAACGGCUCACCAAGGCGACGAUCCGUAGCUGGUUUGAGAGGACGACCAGCCACACUGGGACUGAGACACGGCCCAGACUCCUACGGGAGGCAGCAGUGGGGAAUGUUGGACAAUGGGGGAAACCCUGAUCCAGCCAUCCCGCGUGUGCGAUGAAGGCCUUCGGGUUGUAAAGCACUUUUGGCAGGAAAGAAACGUCGCGGGUUAAUACCUCGCGAAACUGACGGUACCUGCAGAAUAAGCACCGGCUAACUACGUG